rnacentral:lncRNA from 1 species
AGGGAAGGCAUCGAGCUUGAGGAAGAGGCCUCAUUCAUCUCCGUACCCCAGGCCCUAGUACACAGCAGCAAGAAUGCGGUGUGUCAGGAGAAGCAAAUCCCAAAUGAGAUAAACCUGCCAGUAAUUUCAGCAAAUGAAACGUGGAACACGUCAAGGCCAGAGGAUGGAAAAGGCUCCAGUUUUGAUAAAAGGAGGCCUGCUUGGCUUGGAAUCCUCUCUCCUGCUGGUUGGGAGAUGCAAAGAUGUUUCCAGAGAGGGGCUGAUGAAUUGAGGGGAAAGAAAUGAGCCCAGUAUGAGUCCCCUUUCAGGGCUGAGUGUGUAUAAAACCAAACAACUUGGAACCGCUCCAAGAGAGGGGAUUAAAGCAACAUGUUAUUCU